rnacentral:rRNA from 1 species
CCUACGGGGGGCAGCAGUGGGGAAUAUUGCACAAUGGGGGAAACCCUAAUGCAGCGACUCCGCGUGAGCGAUGAAGGCCUUCGUUUCGUAAAGCUCUUUCCUAAGGGAAUAUAAUGACGGUACCUUAGUAGGAAGCCCCGGCUAACUACGUGCCAGCAGCCGCGGUAAACCGUAGGGGGCGAGCGUUGUCCGGAAUUACUGGGCGUAAGGGAUGCGUAGGCGGUCAUGUAAGUCAGUUGUGAAAGCCCUCGGCUUAACCGAGGUCAGCAUUUGAAACUGCAUAACUUGAGUGCAGGAGAGGAGAGUGGAAUUCCUAGUGUCGCGGUGAAAUGCGUAGAUAUUAGGAAGAACACCAGUGGCGAAGGCGACUCUCUGGAAUGUAACUGACGCUGAGGCACGAAAGCGUGGGGAGCGAACAGGAUUAGAUACCCGGGUAGUC